CAUGAUGCUGACUUUGAAGAUGCAAGCUUCCACAUCUACAGCCUCAAGGAAACAAAUUCAGCCAACCAACUGAGGGAGCUUUCCUUGUCCUGCCUCAAGAUGAGAUCACAGUCUGCCCAACACCAUGAUUUAGGCCUUGUGACACCUGGGCUCAGAUGGAAAAGAAUGGUGUUACUGAGACCCUUCAAGAUUCCCAGUGUAAUUCAAUAAAGAAAAGGCAACACAAAGGGGUUGUAUAGAAUUCGCCACAUUAUGGACCCAUGUCAUAGAGAGAAUCCACGGUGCAUUUGUUAGCUGCAUUUAAAUGACAACACUUUCAGAUCCAAGAUUUAUUUGGGAUAAAAAUUUACCUGGAUGCAAGGCUAUUCAGAAUGAAGAUUAAUGAUAUGGUUUGGCUGUGUCCCCACCCAAACUUCAUCUUGAAUUC
rnacentral:lncRNA from 1 species